AAUUCAAUUGUUGGAUUAUAUGAUGAGUAUGCUCAGUUUUACAAUAAACCCCUGAAGUGUCUUCCAAAGUGGCUGUAACAUUUGCAUUCCCAUCAGCAAU
rnacentral:pre_miRNA from 1 species